rnacentral:rRNA from 1 species
GACGAACGCUGGCGGCGUGCUUAACACAUGUAAGUCGAACGGAAAGGCCCUGCUUGCAGGGUACUCGAGUGGCGAACGGGUGAGUAACACGUGGGUGAUCUGCCCUGCACUUCGGGAUAAGCUUGGGAAACUGGGUCUAAUACCGGAUAGGAGCCAUCUUUAGUGUGGUGGUUGGAAAGUUUUUUCGGUGUAGGAUGAGCUCGCGGCCUAUCAGCUUGUUGGUGGGGUAAUGGCCUACCAAGGCGGCGACGGGUAGCCGGCCUGAGAGGGUGUACGGCCACAGUGGGACUGAGAUACGGCCCAGACUCCUACGGGAGGCAGCAGUGGGGAAUAUUGCACAAUGGGCGCAAGCCUGAUGCAGCGACGCCGCGUGGGGGAUGAAGGCCUUCGGGUUGUAAACUCCUUUCGCUAGGGACGAAGCUUUGUUGUGACGGUACCUAGAUAAGAAGCACCGGCUAACUACGUG